rnacentral:lncRNA from 1 species
AUAUAUAUAUAUAUGCUGGUAGGCUUCUGAAAACACGCUUUCGAGUUGUUUUCGAUGUUAGGACUUUCGAAUUGAUGAUCGGCUCCGUUAGAGUUGAUCUAGAGUAUUUGAAGUGCCUAGAAAAUAAAUUUUGUGAUUUUUCGAUAUUAUUUGUCUAGUGAUCGAAGAAGCUCAAAAUCAAUAAUUUUAAUGGCCGUGGUGAGCCGUUUGCAAGUUUAACGGUGCAAAAAUAUCCAAAUCACAUGAAAUUUUGGUAUAAAAUUCUUUAUACCAUAUAAAAUAAGAUCAAUAACUUUGAUCUGAAAUUUUAAUGUCAUAUCAUCAUAUUUUGUAAGAUUUUUAUUUUCAACCGUUGAUUUUGAGCCACUUUGAUCAUCAGGCAAAUGAUAUCGAAAAAUCGCAAAAUUUAUUUUCUAAAUACUUCAAAUACUCUAGAUCAAGUCUAACGGAACCAAUCGUUGAUUCGAAAGUUCGAACAUCGAAAACAACUUGAAAGCACGGAGCGCUCCGUGCUUUCAGAAACAUACAAGACGCACUCUAUAUAUUUUGGUAAACUUCAAAUACAACCCUUAUAGUUAUGCAUUUUUUUUUUAUUUUAGUACCCUAUAAUUUAAAGUGUAUUAAUUUAGUACGUUAUGUUUUUUUUUUUCUUUUUUCAUUAGCUCCUUCCUUAACAGUCCGUUAAAUUAUAUACACAAAAAACUUUAGACACCUUAUCUAGAUUUAUCGAAUAUUCACUUUAAUAUCUUUUAGUUUUAAUUUUGUCACUGAUUUAACAAAAAAAAAAUCUAACGAAAAAAAAAAAUCACAUGAUACUAAAUUGAUACACUUUAAACCAUAGGAAUGGUAUUUGAAGUUUAUCUUUUUUUUUUUUUAUAUAGUAAUAUUAUACUUACAAAUAAAUUUUAUAACAUUUCAUAAAGUAUAUGUGUGGUGGUGUUUUGUAAAUUAUAAAAAGAUAAACGUGCUUAUAUUUUGAAGGUUAAAAUUCAGCAAUUGAGUUGUUUGGUUUGUAAAAUAUGUAAUUUUUUAAGAGAAUAAUAGCAUACUAUCGUCUCAUUCUUUUUUAAAAAAAAUUUAUUUUAAAAUAUAAGAUAUUAGAUUUUGAAUUUGAAAUCUCAGAUUUCAACUAUUAAAUUCUUUACCAUCUUACGCUAUAGACGAUCGGUACAAUUUAUAAAACAUUAUAAAAUUUAUUUAUAAGCAAAAUAAAUUUUUUUUUCUUUAUUAAUUUCACAGGAUAUAU